GGCCAUGUAGCUCAGUUGGAAGAGCAGUGGACUAGUAUUCCAAAGGUCGUAGGUUUGAUUCCCACCGUGGCCA
rnacentral:tRNA from 1 species